AUUGAACGCUGGCGGCAGGCCUAACACAUGCAAGUCGAACGGUAACAGGAAGCAGCUUGCUGCUUUGCUGACGAGUGGCGGACGGGUGAGUAAUGUCUGGGAAACUGCCUGAUGGAGGGGGAUAACUACUGGAAACGGUGGCUAAUACCGCAUAACGUCGCAAGACCAAAGAGGGGGACCUUCGGGCCUCUUGCCAUCAGAUGUGCCCAGAUGGGAUUAGCUUGUUGGUGAGGUAACGGCUCACCAAGGCGACGAUCCCUAGCUGGUCUGAGAGGAUGACCAGCCACACUGGAACUGAGACACGGUCCAGACUCCUACGGGAGGCAGCAGUGGGGAAUAUUGCACAAUGGGCGCAAGCCUGAUGCAGCCAUGCCGCGUGUAUGAAGAAGGCCUUCGGGUUGUAAAGUACUUUCAGCGGGGAGGAAGGUGUUGUGGUUAAUAACCGCAGCAAUUGACGUUACCCGCAGAAGAAGCACCGGCUAACUCCGUGCCAGCAGCCGCGGUAAUACGGAGGGUGCAAGCGUUAAUCGGAAUUACUGGGCGUAAAGCGCACGCAGGCGGUCUGUCAAGUCGGAUGUGAAAUCCCCGGGCUCAACCUGGGAACUGCAUUCGAAACUGGCAGGCUUGAGUCUUGUAGAGGGGGGUAGAAUUCCAGGUGUAGCGGUGAAAUGCGUAGAGAUCUGGAGGAAUACCGGUGGCGAAGGCGGCCCCCUGGACAAAGACUGACGCUCAGGUGCGAAAGCGUGGGGAGCAAACAGGAUUAGAUACCCUGGUAGUCCACGCCGUAAACGAUGUCUACUUGGAGGUUGUGCCCUUGAGGCGUGGCUUCCGGAGCUAACGCGUUAAGUAGACCGCCUGGGGAGUACGGCCGCAAGGUUAAAACUCAAAUGAAUUGACGGGGGCCCGCACAAGCGGUGGAGUAUGUGGUUUAAUUCGAUGCAACGCGAAGAACCUUACCUGGUCUUGACAUCCACAGAAGAAUCCAGAGAUGGAUUUGUGCCUUCGGGAACUGUGAGACAGGUGCUGCAUGGCUGUCGUCAGCUCGUGUUGUG
rnacentral:rRNA from 1 species